rnacentral:rRNA from 1 species
UACGAAGGGUGCAAACGUUGCUCGGAAUUAUUGGGCGUAAAGCGCACGUAGGCGGCUUUGCAAGUCCCAUGUGAAAUCCCAUGGCUCAACCAUGGAAGUGCACCCGAAACUGCGUAGCUAGAGUCCUGGAGAGGAAGGUGGAAUACUUGGUGUAGAGGUGAAAUUCGUAGAUAUCAAGUGGAACACCGGUGGCGAAGGCGGCCUUCUGGACAGUGACUGACGCUGAGACGCGAAAGCGUGGGGAGCGAACAGG